AAGGAUCAUUAAUGAAAUGCAAGGACGCUCUUUUUAGAGGUCCCGACCCAAUUCAUUUUCUCACACUGUGCACACACUACUUUUUACACCAUUUUUAACANNNNAAAGUCUAAGNNNGUAAACAGUCUCUUAAUUGAGCAUAAAAUUGAAACAAAACUUUCAGCAACGGAUCUCUUGGCUCUCCCAUCGAUGAAGAACGCAGCGAAAUGCGAUACGUAAUGUGAAUUGCAGAAUUCAGUGAAUCAUCGAAUCUUUGAACGCACCUUGCACUCUUUGGUAUUCCGAAGAGUAUGUCUGUUUGAGUGUCAUGAAACUCUCAACCCCCCUGUUUUGUAAUGAAGCAGGCGUGGGCUUGGAUUAUGGCUGCUGCCGGCGUAAUUGUCGACUCGGCUGAAAUACACGAGCUACCCAUUUCAUAAGAAAUAGACGGUUUGACUCGGCGUAAUAACAUAUUUCGCUGAGGACGUCACAUUCUUUACCUAGUGGUGCUUCUAAUGCGACAUCUAAACUUAAGCUUAGACCUCAAAUCAGUCAGGACUACCCGCUGAACUUAA
rnacentral:rRNA from 1 species